UGAUGACGGUAAUCGACGAAUAAGCCCCGGCUAAUUACGUGCCAGCAGCCGCGGUAACACGUAAGGGGCGAGCGUUGUUCGGAAUUAUUGGGCGUAAAGGGCAUGUAGGCGGCUAUGUAAGCCUGAUGUGAAAUCCUGGGGCUUAACCCUAGAAUAGCAUUGGGUACUGUGUAGCUUGAAUUACGGAAGGGAAACUGGAAUUCCAAGUGUAGGGGUGGAAUCUGUAGAUAUUUGGAAGAACACCGGUGGCGAAGGCGGGUUUCUGGCCGAUAAUUGACGCUGAGAUGCGAAAGUGUGGGGAUCGAACAGGAUUAGAUACCCUGGUAGUCCACACUGUAAACGAUGUACACUAGGUGUUGGGGCAAGAGCUUCAGUGCCAAAGCAAACGCGAUAAGUGUACCGCCUGGGGAGUAUGCCCGCAAGGGUGAAACUCAAAGGAAUUGACGGGGGCCCGCACAAGUCGGUGGAGCAUGUGGUUU
rnacentral:rRNA from 1 species